CGAGUCUUAAUUGGGCGUUAAGUUGCAGGGUAUAGACCCGAAACCCGGUGAUCUAGCCAUGGGCAGGUUGAAGGUUGGGUAACACUAACUGGAGGACCGAACCGACUAAUGUUGAAAAAUUAGCGGAUGACCUGUGGCUGGGGGUGAAAGGCCAAUCAAACCGGGAGAUAGCUGGUUCUCCCCGAAAGCUAUUUAGGUAGCGCCUCGUGAAUUCAUCUCCGGGGGUAGAGCACUGUUUCGGCUAGGGGGCCAUCCCGGCUUACCAACCCGAUGCAAACUGCGAAUACCGGAGAAUGUUAUCACGGGAGACACACGGCGGGUGCUAACGUCCGUCGUGAAGAGGGAAACAACCCAGACCGCCAGCUAAGGUCCCAAAGUCAUGGUUAAGUGGGAAACGAUGUGGGAAGGCCCAGACAGCCAGGAUGUUGGCUUAGAAGCAGCCAUCAUUUAAAGAAAGCGUAAUAGCUCACUGGUCGAGUCGGCCUGCGCGGAAGAUGUAACGGGGCUAAACCAUGCACCGAAGCUGCGGCAGCGACACUGUGUGUUGUUGGGUAGGGGAGCGUUCUGUAAGCCUGUGAAGGUGUGUCGUGAGGCAUGCUGGAGGUAUCAGAAGUGCGAAUGCUGACAUAAGUAACGAUAAAGCGGGUGAAAAGCCCGCUCGCCGGAAGACCAAGGGUUCCUGUCCAACGUUAAUCGGGGCAGGGUGAGUCGACCCCUAAGGCGAGGCCGAAAGGCGUAGUCGAUGGGAAACGGGUUAAUAUUCCCGUACUUGGUGUUACUGCGAAGGGGGGACGGAGAAGGCUAUGUUGGCCGGGCGACGGUUGUCCCGGUUUAAGCGUGUAGGUGUGUGUUCCAGGUAAAUCCGGUUCACUUUAACACUGAGGCGUGACGACGAGGCACUACGGUGCUGAAGCAACAAAUGCCCUGCUUCCAGGAAAAGCCUCUAAGCAUCAGGUAACAUCAAAUCGUACCCCAAACCGACACAGGUGGUCAGGUAGAGAAUACCAAGGCGCUUGAGAGAACUCGGGUGAAGGAACUAGGCAAAAUGGUGCCGUAACUUCGGGAGAAGGCACGCUGACACGUAGGUGAAGUGAUUUACUCAUGGAGCUGAAGUCAGUCGAAGAUACCAGCUGGCUGCAACUGUUUAUUAAAAACACAGCACUGUGCAAACACGAAAGUGGACGUAUACGGUGUGACGCCUGCCCGGUGCCGGAAGGUUAAUUGAUGGGGUCAGCGCAAGCGAAGCUCCUGAUCGAAGCCCCGGUAAACGGCGGCCGUAACUAUAACGGUCCUAAGGUAGCGAAAUUCCUUGUCGGGUAAGUUCCGACCUGCACGAAUGGCGUAAUGAUGGCCAGGCUGUCUCCACCCGAGACUCAGUGAAAUUGAACUCGCUGUGAAGAUGCAGUGUACCCGCGGCAAGACGGAAAGACCCCGUGAACCUUUACUAUAGCUUGACACUGAACAUUGAGCCUUGAUGUGUAGGAUAGGUGGGAGGCUUUGAAGUGUGGACGCCAGUCUGCAUGGAGCCGACCUUGAAAUACCACCCUUUAAUGUUUGAUGUUCUAACGUGGACCCGUUACCCGGGUUGCGGACAGUGUCUGGUGGGUAGUUUGACUGGGGCGGUCUCCUCC
rnacentral:rRNA from 1 species